GUGCCAGCAGCCGCGGUAAUACAGAGGUGGCAAGCGUUGUUCGGAAUUACUGGGCGUAAAGGGCGCGUAGGCGGUUCGUUAAGUCCUGUGUGAAAUCCCCCGGCUCAACUGGGGAACUGCACAGGAAACUAGCGGGCUUGAGUUCGGGAGAGGGAAGCGGAAUUCCGGGUGUAGCGGUGAAAUGCGUAGAUAUCCGGAGGAACACCGGUGGCGAAGGCGGCUUCCUGGACCGACACUGACGCUGAGGCGCGAAAGCUAGGGGAGCAAACGGGAUUAGAUACCCCGGUAGUCC
rnacentral:rRNA from 1 species